AGUGGAGAGCGGCGGACGGGUGAGUAACGCGUGGGAACCUACCCUUUGGUUCGGAAUAACUUUGGGAAACUGAAGCUAAUACCGGAUACGCCCCGUAAGGGGGAAAGAUUUAUUGCCGGAGGAUGGGCCCGCGUUGGAUUAGGUAGUUGGUGGGGUAAUGGCCUACCAAGCCUGCGAUCCAUAGCUGUUCUGAGAGGAAGAUCAGCCACACUGGGACUGAGACACGGCCCAGACUCCUACGGGAGGCAGCAGUGGGGAAUCUUGGACAAUGGGGGAAACCCUGAUCCAGCCAUGCCGCGUGAAUGAAGAAGGCCUUAGGGUUGUAAAGUUCUUUCAGCGGGGAAGAUAAUGACGGUACCCGCAGAAGAAGCCCCGGCUAACUCCGUGCCAGCCGCCGCGGUAA
rnacentral:rRNA from 1 species